GAUGAACGCUGGCGGCGUGCUUAACACAUGCAAGUCGAACGAGAAGUGGAGACGGAAACCUUCGGGCGGAAGACUUUAUUUCGAGUGGCGGACGGGUGAGUAACGCGUGGGUAACCUGCCUCAUACAGGGGGAUAACAGUUGGAAACGACUGUUAAUACCGCAUAAGACCACAGCACCGCAUGGUGCGGGGGUAAAAACUCCGGUGGUAUGAGAUGGACCCGCGUUCGAUUAGCCAGUUGGCGGGGUAACGGCCCACCAAAGCGACGAUCGAUAGCCGAUCUGAGAGGUUGACCGGCAACAUUGGGACUGAGACACGGCCCAAACUCCUCCGGGAGGCAGCAGUGGGGAAUAUUGCACAAUGGGGGAAACCCUGACGCAGCGACGCCGCGUGAGUGAAGAAGUAUUUCGGUAUGUAAAGCUCUAUCAGCAGGGAAGAAAAUGACGGUACCUGAGUAAGAAGCCCCGGCUAACUACGU
rnacentral:rRNA from 1 species